AUACGGAGGGGGCUAGCGUUGUUCGGAAUUACUGGGCGUAAAGCGCGCGUAGGCGGCUUAUCAAGUUAGGCGUGAAAGGCCUGGGCUCAACCCGGGAACUGCGCUUAAUACUGGUAGACUUGAGUCCGGGAGAGGGUGGCGGAAUUCCCAGUGUAGAGGUGAAAUUCGUAGAUAUUGGGAAGAACACCAGUGGCGAAGGCGGCCACAUGGCCCGGUACUGACGCUGAGGUGCGAAAGCGUGGGGAGCAAACAGGAUUAGAAACCCCGGUAGUCC
rnacentral:rRNA from 1 species